UACGUAGGUGACAAGCGUUGUCCGGAUUUACUGGGCGUAAAGAGCGCGCAGGCGGUCGAUCAAGUCGAGUGUGAAAGCCCCCGGCUCAACUGGGGAGGGUCAUUCGAUACUGAUCGACUCGAAGGCAGGAGAGGGUAGUGGAAUUCCCGGUGUAGUGGUGAAAUGCGUAGAUAUCGGGAGGAACACCAGUGGCGAAGGCGACUACCUGGUCUGUUCUUGACGCUGAGGCGCGAAAGCUAGGGGAGCAAACGGG
rnacentral:rRNA from 1 species